rnacentral:rRNA from 1 species
AACGCGAAGAACCUUACCAAGUCUUGACAUCCCAAUGACCGGAACUUAACCGUUCCUUCCCUACGGGGCAUUGGAGACAGGUGGUGCAUGGUUGUCGUCAGCUCGUGUCGUGAGAUGUUGGGUUAAGUCCCGCAACGAGCGCAACCCUUAUCCUUAUUAGCCAGCACAUGAUGGUGGGCACUCUAGGGAGACUGCCAGGGAUAACCUGGAGGAAAGUGGGGAUGACAUCAAAUCAUCAUGCCCCUUAUGAUUUGGGCUACACACGUGCUACAAUGGCGUAAACAAAGGGAAACGACCCCGCGAGGGUAAGCAAAUCUCAAAAAUAACGUCUCACUUCGGAUUGCAGGCUGCAACUCGCCUGCAUGAAACUGGAAUCGCUAGUAAUCGCGAAUCACAAUGUCGCGGUGAAUACGUUCCCGGGUCUUGUACACACCG